rnacentral:lncRNA from 1 species
GGUGGUGGAUGACUAUCCACGUCCCUCACUUCCCGAUGAUUCAUGCUGGAUGUUUACAGCGAGACUCACAGAGGCACUCGGUGCCUCCCUCCACUGCAGGUCUUGGAAUGAGCAGAGCUGGGAGACUGCCCAAAGCGGGCACCAGGAUCCCCUGGUGUGCCAAGCCUCCCAUGAUGCUCCAGCCCUGAAGGGGUGCAGAGGGAGCUGGGGCCUGCCGGGAUGCCGAACCUGGAUGUCCAUGAGUCCGGCAAUCCUGAUCUGCCUGGAACUUUCACAACGGAGAAGGAAGAGCCAGCAACCUCUUGGGAAAAGCGCAUGGCCACCCCACCCACACCGGCUGCUGCGAACAGAGUCCCAGGAGUUCAAAUUGUAUCCAGGAAGGCUGCCAUCUCUUUCCACCAUUGAGCAGUUAUAACAAAGGUCUCGCAGUCCUGGAGCCUCCACUCCACCCUGGAGGAUGGAGGUUCACAAUGACACAUGGCGGGCAAACGCUAUGGCCCGUGAAGGAAAGGAGGAGGAAGAGAGAGAGGAGGAAAGAGAAGAGGAAGAGGAGGAGGAAGGGAAGGAGAGGGAGGAAGAGGAGAAACUUUGUGGAAAAAAAAAACCCAAAAAGUGUGCUGAGACCUGUCAUUUCUUCUUCCUAAUUAAGAGGAAUGGAUUUUAAAGCCCACCAGCCCGUGGGCCAUAGCUAACGUGGCUUGAAAGGAACGUGAUGGUCAUAUUUGAAUGCCAUCAGAAAAUGAAGGUGAUGCAAGAGUGAAUAAAGUUGAGCAUGAAUAAAGGUACAAUUUGCUACCACAGGCAAAUAUUUUGGACAAAAGAAAGAAUCCUAAUUGAAAUACAGAAAUUCAGUUCCAACUGAUUUUGGAACUGAAUUGAGAUUCGGUUUUUAAAAAUAGGAUCUGGUCACCUCUAAUUGUAAAGAUGAUGUAAAGAACAUCACAGAGUGGAAGAGAGUCCAAGAGGCUGGAGGGAAAUGCUCUGCAUUUCCACACAAGCCCUCACAGGGCUCACGGAAGUGUUCUCUGCUAUGCAUAUAAAUUCAGGGGUUGGAUAUUUUAGAAUUAAAAGUGACUCAUGCUUU